rnacentral:rRNA from 1 species
ACCUGGUUGAUCCUGCCAGUAGUCAUAUGCUUGUCUCAAAGAUUAAGCCAUGCAUGUCCAAGUAUAAACACAUAUACGGUGAAACUGCGAACGGCUCAUUAAAUCAGUUAUCGUUUAUUUGAUAUUACCUUACUACAUGGAUACCUGUGGUAAUUCUAGAGCUAAUACAUGCUAAAAACCUCGACUUCGGAAGGGGUGUAUUUAUUAGAUAAAAAACCAAUGCCCUUCGGGGCUCCUUGGUGAAUCAUAAUAACUUAACGAAUCGCAUGGCCUUGCGCCGGCGAUGGUUCAUUCAAAUUUCUGCCCUAUCAGCUUUCGAUGGUAGGAUCGAGGCCUACCAUGGCGUUAACGGGUAACGGAGAAUUAGGGUUCGAUUCCGGAGAGGGAGCCUGAGAAACGGCUACCACAUCCAAGGAAGGCAGCAGGCGCGUAAAUUAC